CGCCCUUACAAGGCGAGGGUCACUGGUUCAAGUCCAGUAUCGCCCACCA
rnacentral:tRNA from 1 species